UUAAUUAAGAGUUUGAUCCUGGCUCAGGACGAACGCUGGCGGCACGCUUAACACAUGCAAGUCGAACGAGAGAAGAGAAGCUUGCUUUUCUGAUCUAGUGGCGGACGGGUGAGUAACACGUGAGCAAUCUGCCUUUCAGAGGGGGAUACCGAUUGGAAACGAUCGUUAAUACCGCAUAACAUAAUUGAACCGCAUGAUUUGAUUAUCAAAGAUUUAUCGCUGAAAGAUGAGCUCGCGUCUGAUUAGCUAGUUGGUAAGGUAACGGCUUACCAAGGCGACGAUCAGUAGCCGGACUGAGA
rnacentral:ncRNA from 1 species